GUUGCUUUCAGGUUGCCGUGAAGAAGAAAGUGGAGAUGAUAUUGACUGCAUUGUAAUCAAUUCCUUCUUUUGUCCAUUGACCACGACACGACAAGAUCUUUCGAUUCUAAGGUAAGAUGGACAGGUCUCUUGGAAAUCUCGGAACCUUUUCUACAAUAAAAGCUGCUAUUAAGAAAUAUGUGCUUCUUCUGUGUAGACAUAUUUCUAAAAUUCAUGAAUCCAGGAGGACUUACAAGUUGAUUUAGGCAUACUUAGGGAUCUUCGAUCUAAACUGGAGGAAUUCUUCAAUGCACAAAUGGUUUACUUGUGCGGAUAGAAUAGAAAUCAUGAUGCUCGGUAAGCUUCACAGUUUCUUAAACAAAGAGAUUCCAGAAAACAUGAUUGCGAGGAUUUCACAUGGCUACAUAAAGUUCCCAAUUCUCAAAGGCUGUGGCUCAUGAAAACAUGACUGCGAGGCAACGACAAUUAAGAAAAAGGAAUUUAGGAAGACUGGUGGAGAUGAGGAACGAAUGGCAGCCAUUGCAGCUUACAUGAAGCUUAAUUGGCAGGGCCUUCAGAAGAAGGUUGUCUUUGUUACUGUUAUUACAGAUCUCAACACCUUCCAUCGCACAUGGUUCAACACUGGUGUCAACCAAUGCUACUGCCCUUCGGACGAGGUUGCCAAGAGGGCGUUGGUUGAUGGCCUAGAGUCUUCCCAGAUUCGCGUGUUUGGUUUGCCCGUCAGGCCCUCGUUUUUUCGGCUGUAAAGAAAACUGCAAGAGCUCUCGGAGAAGCACUAUUCAGUGCAGAACUUGGUAAACCAAUUGGACAGAUCACCAUGGAAAGUCCAGUAAAGGUAAUAGAUCAGAUGAUUCGAGACCCAAA